GGUCUGAGUCAUGGUUCUAUUGCCAUGAGCAAGGCAGCUCUUAUAAAAAAAAGUAUUUAGCUAAGGACUUCUUAUAUUUUCAGAGGUGGGUACAUUAUCAUCAUGGUGGGAAGCUGACAGGCAUGGUGGUGGAGCGGUAGUUAAGAGAUCCAUUGUGAUCCACAGAUAGCAGGUAAAGAACAAGAUAGUGGGCCUGGCAGGGGCUUUUGAAACCACGAAGCUCAUCCCCAGCAAUGAACUCCUUGAUUAAGGAGACACUGACUAAACCUUCCAAACAUUCAUCAAUUGGAGACUAAGCACACAAGCAUAUGGGUCUAUGAGGGCAAUUUUCAUUCAAACGACCAACUUAAAAAAACGACCAACCUGAACUGAUAGGAUGGCUCAGUGGGUAAAAGUACUCGGUAUGCAUGCCUCACAACCUGAGAUCAAUUUCUGAAGCUCAUGGUGGAAGAAGAUUGGCUCCAGAAUGUUGUUCUCCAACCUCCACAUACAGGCUCUAACAUGUGGCAGGACACACACACACACACACACACACACACACAAACACACAAACACACAGACACAGACACUAAUAAUAAGUAAUAAUAAUAACUAUAAUAACAAUCAUAAAAUAACCUGUUUUUCUUCUGCCUUUAUUCACGGGAGUCAUUUAAGGCUUCCCUUAGGUGUGUUUCUGAUGUAGGCUUUGCAUUUGGUUUUGCAAAGUGCCUGGGACAUCAUCAGUCCUGGGUAAUCUUUGGCUGCUGGAUUUUGUUUGUUUCGUGUUGUUUUUUCACUGUCUUAUGUAGGUUGGCUGGCACAUUCUGGAAGUCGCCGAACUAAUUUAGAGGUGUGGAGUUCUGGGACAAGAAAAUGGCGGGUCCACAUGGUAACCUAGUUGUGUCAUAUCCACAUGGUUUACAGAAACAUCAAGAAUUCCCUUUUACCAUGAUCAUUACUGUGAUACGAUGAAAGGUUCCGUACCUGUCCUCUUUAAUUCUUCCUUCUACCCACUAGCAAUAUCAGACUUUACUUCAAUAUAGGAAGAACACUAUCUAGCAAAAUGUUUUUGGUCUGCUUACCUCGUGUGCACUGCUCUAAAUAAUUCUCCACUUCUGAAGUCAGAGAAUACCUUCCUCCUUCAGGGCCAAUAUGGUUUAUUGCCCAAACCAUUAAUUGUGUCAUUCCUCAGCUCCAGUGGAUUGCGUAUCUGCAUCUGAGAGAGAGAGAGAGAGAGAGAGAGAGAGAGAGAGAGAGAGAGAGAGAGAGAGAGAGAGAAUUGCAUAUCUACAUUUUAGAGAGAGAGGGAGACAGAGAGGAGGGGAAGGGGGAGAUAGGUUAAAGAUAAACUAUAAAGUCCAAAGUCAGAGACCAGUCUUUUUAGUUACGUAUUCUUCAUUACCUUCUUCACUGUUAGGGGCCUCAGGCACACAGGGAAAGAGAUGCUAGUGGGAUCACGGUCCAUCUCUGCCACACCUUCCUCAUCAAUUAAUGAGAUCCUCAUUAACACGUACAUUCCUCAGUUGUGAUGUUUGUCUUGUUAACUUCUCUGUCUUCCUGUAGGCUGACUGUUUCUCAUUCCAUUCUGAUCCCUCACUUUUAGCUCUCCCACUGACUUCAUCUUCAACUUUACUUCUUCCAGAAAAACAAAGUCUUUGGACAAAAGAAGAGAAUGUUCACCAUUUCAGGGUGUCUAAUAAGACAAGGGGACAGAAUCUACACCCUCCAGACGACCGUUUCUGAUGAGCAGGAGUCUCACGUAUUAAUGGAGAAUCCAGCAGCGGAGAAACGUGGAUGAGAUGACUUAGAGCUGUUCCAACACGCCGACUUAGAAGCUGAGCUGAAGACAGAGGACGAGGAGACCUGUGCGUACAGCGUCUGAACCAGGUAGCACAGCAGGAAUUCUUGCAACCCUCCUUCUGGCUUUGGGAUGCACAUGACCAAUUAGGUGUCAAUGAACACAGUGGGUACCAUUAGAAGAUGCCAGUGUGCUUGUACAUCACUACUGAAACAGCCAACGUCUUGUCUGUAAAGUAUCAACAUCUGCAAUUAUUUGGAAAAAUACAGAUGAAACUGUGAUCUGGGAGAGGCUUAAGGACACUAAUGGAUUUCAGUGAGCUGGCCCUGAACUUUAAUCCCCUUUCCCACAGCUAA